rnacentral:rRNA from 1 species
GAUGAACGCUGGCGGCGUGCCUAACACAUGCAAGUCGAACGAAGCACUUUGAUUUGAUUCUUCGGAUGAAGAUUAUUGUGACUGAGUGGCGGACGGGUGAGUAACGCGUGGGUAACCUGCCUCAUACAGGGGGAUAACAGUUAGAAAUGACUGCUAAUACCGCAUAAGACCACGGAGUCGCAUGACUCAGUGGGAAAAACUCCGGUGGUAUGAGAUGGACCCGCGCCUGAUUAGGUAGUUGGUGGGGUAACGGCCUACCAAGCCGACGAUCAGUAGCCGACCUGAGAGGGUGACCGGCCACAUUGGGACUGAGACACGGCCCAAACUCCUACGGGAGGCAGCAGUGGGGAAUAUUGCACAAUGGGGGAAACCCUGAUGCAGCGACGCCGCGUGAGCGAAGAAGUAUUUCGGUAUGUAAAGCUCUAUCAGCAGGGAAGAAAAUGACGG